rnacentral:rRNA from 1 species
AUUGAACGCUGGCGGUAUGCUUUACACAUGCAAGUCAAGCGGUAACAGGUUAAGCUGACGAGUGGCGAACGGGUGAGUAAUACAUCGGAACAUGCCCAGUCGUGGGGGAUAACUAUCCGAAAGGAUAGCUAAUACCGCAUACGAUCCAAGGAUGAAGGCGGGGGACCGAAAGGCCUCGCGCGAUUGGAGUGGCCGAUGUAAGAUUAGGUAGUUGGUGGGGUAAAGGCGCACCAAGCCAACGAUCUGGAGCUGGUCUGAGAGGAAGAACAGCCAGACUGGAACUGAGACACGGUAGAGACUCCUACGGGAGGCAGCAGUGGGGAAUUUUGGAGAAUGGGCGCAAGGCUGAUACAGCAAUACCGCGUGCAGGAAGAAGGCCUACGGGUUGUAAACUGCUUUUGUACGGAGCGAAAAGGUCUUUCCUAAUACGAGAGGCUGAUGACGGUACCGUAAGAAUAAGCACCGGCUAACUACGUGCCAGCCGCCGCCGUAA